rnacentral:rRNA from 1 species
GACGAACGCUGGCGGCGUGCCUAAUACAUGCAAGUUGAACGCUUCUUUCUUAUCGAACUUCGGUUCACCAAGAAAGAGGAGUAGCGAACGGGUGAGUAACACGUGGGUAACCUGCCCAUCAGCGGGGGAUAACACUUGGAAACAGGUGCUAAUACCGCAUAAUGCUUUUUCUCACAUGAGAGAAAGCUGAAAGGCGCUUUUGCGUCACUGAUGGAUGGACCCGCGGUGCAUUAGCUAGUUGGUAGGGUAACGGCCUACCAAGGCAACGAUGCAUAGCCGACCUGAGAGGGUGAUCGGCCACACUGGGACUGAGACACGGCCCAGACUCCUACGGGAGGCAGCAGUAGGGAAUCUUCGGCAAUGGGCGAAAGUCUGACCGAGCAACGCCGCGUGAGUGAAGAAGGUUUUCGGAUCGUAAAAACUCUGUUGUUAGAGAAAGAAACAAAGGAU